rnacentral:rRNA from 1 species
GACGAACGCUGGCGGCGUGCUUAACACAUGCAAGUCGUACGGUAAGGCCCUUUCGGGGGUACACGAGUGGCGAACGGGUGAGUAACACGUGAGUAACCUGCCCACAACUUUGGGAUAACGCUAGGAAACUGGUGCUAAUACUGGAUAUGUGCUCCUGCUGCAUGGUGGGGGUUGGAAAGCUCCGGCGGUUGUGGAUGGACUCGCGGCCUAUCAGCUUGUUGGUGGGGUAGUGGCCUACCAAGGCGGCGACGGGUAGCCGGCCUGAGAGGGUGACCGGCCACAUUGGGACUGAGAGAAGGCCCAGACUCGUAAGGGAGGCAGCAGGGGGGAAGAUUGAACAAGGGGCGCAAGCCUGAUGCAGCAACGCCGCGGGCGGGAUGACGGCCUUAGGGUUGAAAACCGAUUUCAGCAGGGACGAAGCAUUUUGUGACGGUACCUGCAGAAGAAGCACCGGCUAACUACGUG